GUGCCAGCCGCCGCGGUAAUACAGAGGGUGCAAGCGUUAUCCGGAUUUAUUGGGUUUAAAGGGUCCGUAGGCGGAUUAAUAAGUCAGUGGUGAAAGCCCAUCGCUUAACGAUGGAACUGCCAUUGAUACUGUUAGUCUUGAGUGAGGUUGCAGUGGCUGGAAUGUGUAGUGUAGCGGUGAAAUGCUUAGAUAUUACGCAGAACACCAAUUGCGAAGGCAGGUCACUAAGCCUCAACUGACGCUGAUGGACGAAAGCGUGGGUAGCAAACAGGAUUAGAAACCCGUGUAGUCC
rnacentral:rRNA from 1 species